UACGUAGGGCGCAAGCGUUAUCCGGAAUUAUUGGGCGUAAAGAGCUCGUAGGCAGUUUGUCGCGUCUGCCGUGAAAGUCCGGGGCUCAACUCCGGAUCUGCGGUGGGUACGGGCAGACUAGAGUGAUGUAGGGGAGACUGGAAUUCCUGGUGUAGCGGUGAAAUGCGCAGAUAUCAGGAAGAACACCCGUGGCGAAGGCGGCUCUCUGGGACGGUACUGACGCUGAGACGCGAAAGCGUGGGGAGCGAACAGG
rnacentral:rRNA from 1 species